ACUGCUACUUGGCUUUCUUACUAAGACCAAGUGUACCUGUUGCUCCAUCCAGUGUAAUAUCAGAUAUAUCCUGUCUCUGAGAACAGUAUUUUAAAUGGCUUUUUGAAGCAGGGAGAUGGAAUAGGGAUCUCUAUCCAUUUCACACAUCAACCUGGCAUUGCAGUGCCUCUGUUAAUGGUGUGCUCCCU
ensembl:snRNA U2 U2 spliceosomal RNA